UGCGUAAGUUUUAAAUAUCAG
rnacentral:piRNA from 1 species